GAUGAACGCUGGCGGCAGGCCUAACACAUGCAAGUCGAGCGGAUGACGGGAGCUUGCUCCUUGAUUCAGCGGCGGACGGUGAGUAAUGCCUAGGAAUCUGCCUGGUAGUGGGGGACAACGUUUCGAAAGGAACGCUAAUACCGCAUACGUCCUACGGGAGAAAGCAGGGGACCUUCGGGCCUUGCGCUAUCAGAUGAGCCUAGGUCGGAUUAGCUAGUUGGUGAGGUAAUGGCUCACCAAGGCGACGAUCCGUAACUGGUCUGAGAGGAUGAUCAGUCACACUGGAACUGAGACACGGUCCAGACUCCUACGGGAGGCAGCAGUGGGGAAUAUUGGACAAUGGGCGAAAGCCUGAUCCAGCCAUGCCGCGUGUGUGAAGAAGGUCUUCGGAUUGUAAAGCACUUUAAGUUGGGAGGAAGGGCAGUAAGUUAAUACCUUGCUGUUUUGACGUUACCGACAGAAUAAGCACCGGCUAACUCUGUGCCAGCCGCCGCAGUAAUAC
rnacentral:rRNA from 1 species